rnacentral:rRNA from 1 species
AUUGAACGCUGGCGGAAUGCUUUACACGUGCAAGUCGAACGGUAGAGGGGGCAACCCCUCGAGAGUGGCGAACGGGUGAGUAAUAUAUCGGAACGUGCCCAGUCGUGGGGGAUAACGUAGCGAAAGUUACGCUAAUACCCCAUACGAUCUAAGGAUGAAAGCGGGGGAUCGCAAGACCUCGCGCGAUUUGCGCGGCCGAUAUCAGAUUAGGUAGUUGGUGGGGUAAAGGCUCACCAAGCCAACGAUCUGUAGCUGGUAUGAGAGGACGACCAGGCACACUGGAACUGAGACACGGUCAAGACUCCUACGGGAGGCAGCAGUGGGGAAUUUUGGACAAUGGACGCAAGUCUGAUCCAGCCAUUCCGCGUGCAGGAUGAAGGCCCUCGGGUUGUAAACUGCUUUUGUACGGAACGAAAAGGUCUCUCUUAAUACGGGGGGCUCAUGACGGUACCGUAAGAAUAAGCACCGGCUAACUACGUGCCAGCCGCCGCCGUAA